AGAUUUAUUCUCUGGAAAGUAGAAAAGGGCAUGUUACAUACUGUUAUCACUGCCAUGACAGAAACCAUAUUGAGGAGCUGGUCCACCUGUAGGAAGAAUUGCGCUAUUGGUUGGAGCAGCACUAUUACCCAGCCAUACACCAGCACUUAGUUUGUCAUAGGGAGCAUUUCUGAGCAGUUAUGGAGACCACUAACUAUGCAGGUGUUGCAGUGAAACUUGCACCAGUGUGUUUUCUGUGGAGAUAAAGAGAUAGUGUCCAGCAAUGAAGACCCAACUCAAGAUCUGACCUUGUAAGGCCAAUAUAAAAUAACUGUGUGGGAAAAUGGGAACAACCUGCAGUCAGGAAUGCACGGAAAUCAUCAAAAGAACAGUGUUAAAUUAAUCUUGAAUAACUUGACAUUUAUUUUGUUUGACAUAUUUAUUCAUGGUGCAGUGAAAACAUUCUUUUUUUCUCAUGGUUAUUUAAAUUUAGAAUUGAUAGGAGGGAACAUCACUAUGUAGUUUCAUGUUCAUAGUCAGAUCAAAACCCAUGUACAUGCCCAAAUGAGCAUUCGAAAAUAUCAAAAUGGUACUUGUUGUAUGUAGUGUAAGUUAAUUAACAUAAUAAACAAAAAUAUUUAAUCAA